rnacentral:rRNA from 1 species
AUAACRACUCUSGGCAACGGAUAUYUAGGCUCUCGCAUCGAUGAAGAACGUAGCGAAAUGCGAUACUUGGUGKGAAUUGCAGAAUCCCGUGAACCAUCGAGUUUUUGAACSCAAGUKGCGCCCGAAGUCAUUAGGCCGAGGGCACGUCUGCYUGGGSGUCACGC